AGUGAACGCUGGCGGAAGGCCUAACACAUGCAAGUCGAACGGCAGCACAGUAAGAGCUUGCUCUUACGGGUGGCGAGUGGCGGACGGGUGAGGAAUACAUCGGAAUCUACUUUUUCGUGGGGGAUAACGUAGGGAAACUUACGCUAAUACCGCAUACGACCUACGGGUGAAAGCAGGGGAUCUUCGGACCUUGCGCGAUUGAAUGAGCCGAUGUCGGAUUAGCUAGUUGGCGGGGUAAAGGCCCACCAAGGCGACGAUCCGUAGCUGGUCUGAGAGGAUGAUCAGCCACACUGGAACUGAGACACGGUCCAGACUCCUACGGGAGGCAGCAGUGGGGAAUAUUGGACAAUGGGCGCAAGCCUGAUCCAGCCAUACCGCGUGGGUGAAGAAGGCCUUCGGGUUGUAAAGCCCUUUUGUUGGGAAAGAAAAGCAGCAGGUUAAUACCCCGCUGUCCUGACGGUACCCAAAGAAUAAGCACCGGCUAACUUCGUG
rnacentral:rRNA from 1 species